GAUGAAGAACGCAGCGAAAUGCGAUACGUAAUGUGAAAUGCAAAUUCAGUGAAUCAUCGAGUCUUUGAACGCACAUUGCGCCCCCUGGUAUUCCGGGGGGCAUGCCUGUCCGAGCGUCAUUGCUGCCCUCAAGCACGGCUUGUGUGUUGGGCCCCGUCCUCCGAUCCCGGGGGACGGGCCCGAAAGGCAGCGGCGGCACCGCGUCCGGUCCUCGAGCGUAUGGGGCUUUGUCACCCGCUCUGUAGGCCCGGCCGGCGCUUGCCGAUCAACCCAAAUUUUUAUCCAGGUUGACCUCGGAUCAGGUAGGGAUACCCGCUGAACUUAAGCAUAUUCAAUAAGCGGAGGA
rnacentral:misc_RNA from 1 species